AUCUCUACAAUGCCGAAUCCAUAACAGGUACGGGGGAACCAAUACAUAUACAGGGGAUAAUCCGCAAAUGCGGAGGGGCGCGUUCUCAAUUCUCUCUUUUCCCUAUCCCGACAGCUAACCCCGGAGGCUGACGAAUUCUGAGCU
rnacentral:sRNA from 2 species